rnacentral:misc_RNA from 1 species
GAUGAAGAACGCAGCGAAAUGCGAUAAGUAAUGUGAAUUGCAGAAUUCAGUGAAUCAUCGAGUCUUUGAACGCACAUUGCGCCCCCUGGUAUUCCGGGGGGCAUGCCUGUCCGAGCGUCAUUGCUGCCCUCAAGCACGGCUUGUGUGUUGGGCCCCGCCCCCCGGCUCCCGGGGGGCGGGCCCGAAAGGCAGCGGCGGCACCGCGUCCGGUCCUCGAGCGUAUGGGGCUUCGUCACCUGCUCCGUAGGCCCGGCCGGCGCCCGCCGGCGACCCCCCUCAAUCUUUUCAGGUUGACCUCGGAUCAGGUAGGGAUACCCGCUGAACUUAAGCAUAUCAAUAAGCGGAGGA